CCUACGGGGUGCAGCAGUGGGGAAUAUUGGACAAUGGGCGAAAGCCUGAUCCAGCCAUGCCGCGUGUGUGAAGAAGGCCUUCGGGUUGUAAAGCACUUUCAGUUGGGAAGAAAGCCUUUGGGCUAAUACCCUCGAGGAAGGACAUCACCCACAGAAGAAGCACCGGCUAACUCCGUGCCAGCAGCCGCGGUAAUACGGAGGGUGCGAGCGUUAAUCGGAAUUACUGGGCGUAAAGCGCGCGUAGGCGGUCUGUUAAGCCGGUUGUGAAAGCCCCGGGCUCAACCUGGGAACGGCAUCCGGAACUGGCAGGCUAGAGUGCAGGAGAGGAAGGUAGAAUUCCCGGUGUAGCGGUGAAAUGCGUAGAGAUCGGGAGGAAUACCAGUGGCGAAGGCGACCUUCUGGACUGACACUGACGCUGAGGUGCGAAAGCGUGGGUAGCAAACAGGAUUAGAUACCCGGGUAGUC
rnacentral:rRNA from 1 species